rnacentral:rRNA from 1 species
UGAGGAAUAUUGGACAAUGGGCGCAAGCCUGAUCCAGCCAUGCCGCGUGCAGGAUGACGGUCCUAUGGAUUGUAAACUGCUUUUGUACAGGAAGAAACAGUUCUACGUGUAGAACCUUGACGGUACUGUAAGAAUAAGGAUCGGCUAACUCCGUGCCAGCAGCCGCGGUAAUACGGAGGAUCCAAGCGUUAUCCGGAAUCAUUGGGUUUAAAGGGUCCGUAGGCGGUUAGAUAAGUCAGUGGUGAAAGCCCAUCGCUCAACGGUGGAACGGCCAUUGAUACUGUCUGACUUGAAUUAUUAGGAAGUAACUAGAAUAUGUAGUGUAGCGGUGAAAUGCUUAGAGAUUACAUGGAAUACCAAUUGCGAAGGCAGGUUACUACUAAUGGACUGACGCUGAGGCGCGAAAGCCAGGGGAGCAAACGGGAUUAGAUACCCCCGUAGUCCCUGAGCGGGCUGGCAAGGCGCAU